rnacentral:rRNA from 1 species
AGCGGCGCACGGGUGAGUAACGCGUAUCCAACCUUCCCCUUAGUAGGGCAUAGCCCGGCGAAAGUCGGAUUAAUACCCUAUGUUUUCCAAUGAGGACAUCUGAGCUGGAACAAAGAUUUAUCGCUAAGGGAUGGGGAUGCGUCUGAUUAGGUAAUCGGCGGGGUAACGGCCCACCGAGCCAACGAUCAGUAGGGGUUCUGAGAGGAAGGUCCCCCACAUUGGUACUGAGACACGGACCAAACUCCUACGGGAGGCAGCAGUGAGGAAUAUUGGUCAAUGGACGAGAGUCUGAACCAGCCAAGUAGCGUGCAGGAUGACGGCCCUAUGGGUUGUAGACUGCUUUUGCAGGGGAAUAAAGUGAGGCACGUGUGCCUUUUUGUAUGUACCCUGAGAAUAAGGACCGGCUAAUUCCGUGCCAGCAGCCGCGGUAAUACGGAAGGUCCGGGCGUUAUCCGGAUUUAUUGGGUUUAAAGGGAGCGCAGGCCGAAGAUUAAGCGUGACGUGAAAUGCCGCGGCUCAACCGUGGAAGUGCGUCGCGAACUGGUUUUCUUGAGUGUGCAC